rnacentral:lncRNA from 10 species
GAAAGCUUGCUUUCUCUCUGUGUUCUUUACUUUAGAAGGAUAUGACUGGAAGACAGCCACCUGCAAACCGGAAAGAGAGCUGUCACCAAGAACCUGACUGUGCUGGCACCCUGAUCUUGAACUUUCAGCCUCCAGUACUGUUAGAAAUCAAUGUUGAUGGUUUACUCUACCCAGUCUAUGGGAUUUUUGUUACAGCAGCCCAAACUGAUUCAGAUGAGGCAACAAGGACACAACAAGAAGGCAGACUUCUGCAAGUGAGGAAGAGAACCCUAACCUGUAUCCCACCAUGCUGACACUCUGAUCUCAGACUUUCAGCUUCCAGAAUGCUGGAAAAUAAAAUUAUGUUGUAUAAGUG